GUGCUCGCUUUGGCAACACAUAAACUAAAAUUGGAAUGACACAGAGAUUACCAUGGCCCCUGCACAAGGAUGACAUACAAAUUCAUGAAGCAUUCCAUAUUUUU